rnacentral:rRNA from 1 species
UACGUGGGGGGCAAGCGUUGUCCGGAAUCAUUGGGCGUAAAGAGCGCGUAGGCGGUCCGAUAAGUCGGCUGUGAAAGUCAAGGGCUCAACCCUUGAAAGCCGGCCGAUACUGUCGGACUAGAGUCCGGAAGAGGCGAGUGGAAUUCCCGGUGUAGCGGUGAAAUGCGCAGAUAUCGGGAGGAACACCAAUGGCGAAGGCAGCUCGCUGGGACGUGACUGACGCUGAGGCGCGAAAGCGUGGGGAGCAAACAGG